GACAGAGGGUGCAAACGUUGUUCGGAAUUACUGGGCGUAAAGCGAGUGUAGGCGGUUUUGUAAGUCGGGUGUGAAAGCCCUGGGCUCAACCCAGGAAGUGCACUCGAAACUGCAAGGCUAGAGUAUCGGAGAGGUUGGUGGAAUUCUCGGUGUAGAGGUGAAAUUCGUAGAUAUCGAGAGGAACACCGGUGGCGAAGGCGACCAACUGGACGAAUACUGACGCUGAGGAGCGAAAGCGUGGGGAGCGAACAGG
rnacentral:rRNA from 1 species